CGGACGGGUGAGUAACACGUGGAUAACCUACCUAUAAGACUGGGAUAACUUCGGGAAACCGGAGCUAAUACCGGAUAAUAUUUUGAACCGCAUGGUUCAAAAGUAAAAGACGGUCUUGCUGUCACUUAUAGAUGGAUCCGCGCUGCAUUAGCUAGUUGGUAAGGUAACGGCUUACCAAGGCAACGAUGCAUAGCCGACCUGAGAGGGUGAUCGGCCACACUGGAACUUAGACACGGUCCAG
rnacentral:rRNA from 1 species